GACGAACGCUGGCGGCGUGCCUAAUACAUGCAAGUAGAACGCACAGUUUAUACCGUAGCUUGCUCCACCAUAGACUGUGAGUUGCGAACGGGUGAGUAACGCGUAUGUAACCUGCCUGGUAGCGGGGGAUAACUAUUGUAAACGAUAGCUAAUACCGCAUAAUAUUGAUUAUUGCAUGAUAAUUGAUUGAAAGAUGCUAUUGCAUCACUACCAGAUGGACCUGAGGUGUAUUAGCUAGUAGGUGAGGUAACGGCCGACCCAGGCGACGAAACAGAGCCUGCCUGGGAAGGUUGACGGCCCAAACUGGAAUGAGACAAGGCCCCGAAUCCCUCGGGAGGCAGCCGGAGGGAAUCUUUGGACAUGGACGAAAGUCUGACUCCGCAACGCCGGGGGAGGGAAGAAGGGUCUCGGAUCGGAAAGCUCUGUUGUAAGAGAAGAACGGGUGUGAGAGUGGAAAGUUCACAUUGUGACGGUAUCUAAACAGAAAGCGCCGGCUAACUACGUG
rnacentral:rRNA from 1 species